UGGCUUACAAUAAUUACUAAAGGAUUUAUUCCAGUAUAUAAUUUAUGUAUUUGACAUCCAAAUUAGAGACUUUCUAGAGUGAAAGCAAAAAUCUGAUGGCUAUGAAAUAUAUCAAAAAACUCAUGUUGGUAAUGAUAGAGUUGAUUGUCCUCAUAAUAAUCGAAGUGCAUGGGAAUGACCCUACCCCUUUCUCUCCUAGUCACACUUUUCUUCCUAUUGGCCUUCAUACCUUCCAACUUGAUAAUAGCCAUGGUCAUCGUUGCCUUGAAAGCACACUUGAAAAAUGUGUUUGGCUAUUUGGAGGUUACUUAAGGCUACCCAAACCUUGGGUUUUGGUUUGGUGAACUUUGGUGGCACUUUGGAAAUUGAACUUUGAGCCAUUGGAAUUAGUGAACACGUGGCCUAAGGUAGUGGUGAUACGGAAGAUAACUCCGUUGCAAACUACUUGGAGUACUACGACUAAAGCUUGUCGCUUGAGUCAUAGGGGUGUCAGACUUGAAUAGUCUCUUUUGAUGUAUAUUUUGUAUAUGACCAGUGUGACUUAUAACACUUUGAUAAUAGCCAUUCUUUUUAUAUGUAUAAUCUAUGCAUAAGCCUUAAAAAGAAGACGUUAAUUAGCUUUUUUGUGUAAUGAACAGUUUGUAUUUAUGAUGUUGAUUUCCGCAGUUAGAUUUUUCUAUUCAA